GGGGGGUUGGAAACAACGUAAAAUGCAAAUUUUAAUAAGCCCCCCCAAAGGGGGCCCCGGU
rnacentral:tRNA from 1 species